rnacentral:rRNA from 1 species
UACGAAGGGGGCUAGCGUUGUUCGGAAUUACUGGGCGUAAAGCGCGUGUAGGCGGUUAUCCAAGUCAGGUGUGAAAGCCUUGAGCUCAACUCAAGAAAUGCACUUGGUACUGGGUGACUAGAGGACCGGAGAGGAUAGUGGAAUUCCCAGUGUAGUGGUGAAAUACGUAGAGAUUGGGAAGAACACCAGUGGCGAAGGCGGCUAUCUGGACGGUUUCUGACGCUAAGACGCGAAAGCGUGGGGAGCAAACAGG